rnacentral:rRNA from 1 species
UCCUACGGGAGGCAGCAGUGGGGAAUUUUGGACAAUGGGCGAAAGCCUGAUGCAGCGACGCCGCGUGAGGGAUGACGGCCUUCGGGUUGUAAACCUCUUUCAGUAGGGAAGAAGCGAAAGUGACGGUACCUGCAGAAGAAGCGCCGGCUAACUACGUGCCAGCAGCCGCGGUAAUACGUAGGGCGCAAGCGUUAUCCGGAAUUAUUGGGCGUAAAGAGCUCGUAGGCGGUUUGUCGCGUCUGCCGUGAAAGUCCGGGGCUCAACUCCGGAUCUGCGGUGGGUACGGGCAGACUAGAGUGAUGUAGGGGAGACUGGAAUUCCUGGUGUAGCGGUGAAAUGCGCAGAUAUCAGGAGGAACACCGAUGGCGAAGGCAGGUCUCUGGGCAUUAACUGACACUGAGGAGCGAAAGCAUGGGGAGCGAACAGGAUUAGAUACCCUGGUAGUCCAUGCCGUAAACGUUGGGCACUAGGUGUGGGGGACAUUCCACGUUUUCCGCGCCGUAGCUAACGCAUUAAGUGCCCCGCCUGGGGAGUACGGCCGCAAGGCUAAAACUCAAAGGAAUUGACGG